UUCUGCUUUAUGUGCGCAUCCUCUACCUAUUAAGUGUUAAUUAAAUUAAAGGGUUUCUUUUUAAAAUCUUCUAUAACUAAUAAAAAAA
rnacentral:rRNA from 1 species